ensembl:lncRNA
AAAAGCUGGAUUUUCAGCAGUCAUUACUCCAGUCUUCAGUGUCACGUGAUGCUUCAGAAAUCUAAUAUGUUGAUUUAGAGCUCAAGAAACAUUCCUUAUUAUUAUUAAUAAAGCUGAAUAUGCUUAAUGUUUUUGUGGAAACAAUUAUACAUGAAUUAUUUGAUGAAUAGAGUUAAAAAAAAAAAGGUAAAAUUAUUCAAGUCUUAACUGUCACUACUGAUCAAUUCAAUGACCAAUCUUACUGACCGCAAACUUUUGAACGGUAGUGUACAGAUAUUUUCAGUGUAGCCAUAAUGUGUUGGACUUCAGGAAGUGUUUGUCUACAUCAGUAUUAUGUGGAAAAUGUGACAUAAAUGUAAAUGUAGUGAAAAACAUUGGACUAGUUUGGCAUUGCACACAGUGUCUGAGGACAUAAUAUGUUUUUACCCCUGGCUUUAAGCCCUACUGCAAGCAUGAGAACUAGAAACACAAUCUAAUAUUUAAAUGUUUAUUUUAUCUGCACUGAUGCAGUAGAUGUUUAUAUGAAGAGACUCUGUUGAUUAAACACAACGUGGUAUAAAACUAUCAAGUAGAUUCUUGCUAAGAUGGUUUAUUUCACGUUUAUCUCAUAGAAAGAACUAUAAAUGGUAAAAAGAGCACAUCUGUGAGUAUGUGUGCCACCUUAGAGGGCAAUAAAUGUUUGGAAUAUUAUAUACAAUCUAACCUUUACUUACAUUCCACUGCAAUAUAGUUUAUAGUAUUGUUUUUUGAUUUAUGUAUCCGUGACAGAUCAUCUCAUGCAAAAGCUGGAAGACCCACUGAGAAGUCGCUCUUUUUCAGGUUGCUGAUUUCAUCCUCCAUGUUCUGUAUCUUCAGGUUGCUGUCUUCGAUCAUUUUCAUCAGCACAUUUAGCUUCUCAUAGAAAAUAUACAAUUUCUGCUCUUUUUCUACAAGCUGCACAGCCUUGACAACACAAACACAGAUACAAAGUUAUGGUGCAAAUGCCACCCCAGACUAUAAGAAUUCACCUCAAAGAUCUAUAACUCUCCCACCACUGGAUGCGCUCUUGCAUGGCAGCCUCAUAGCUCUUGCACAUAUUCAACUUUUUUGCUCUAGCAUGUUGAUUGUCUCCAUGAGUUUGCUGGGGUUUAAUUUCUGCUCCUCUCAUU